rnacentral:rRNA from 1 species
UUGAACGCUGGCGGCAGGCCUAACACAUGCAAGUCGAACGGUAACAGGAAACAGCUUGCUGUUUCGCUGACGAGUGGCGGACGGGUGAGUAAUGUCUGGGAAACUGCCUGAUGGAGGGGGAUAACUACUGGAAACGGUAGCUAAUACCGCAUAACGUCGCAAGACCAAAGAGGGGGACCUUCGGGCCUCUUGCCAUCGGAUGUGCCCAGAUGGGAUUAGCUUGUUGGUGGGGUAACGGCUCACCAAGGCGACGAUCCCUAGCUGGUCUGAGAGGAUGACCAGCCACACUGGAACUGAGACACGGUCCAGACUCCUACGGGAGGCAGCAGUGGGGAAUAUUGCACAAUGGGCGCAAGCCUGAUGCAGCCAUGCCGCGUGUAUGAAGAAGGCCUUCGGGUUGUAAAGUACUUUCAGCGGGGAGGAAGGGAGUAAAGUUAAUACCUUUGCUCAUUGACGUUACCCGCAGAAGAAGCACCGGCUAACUCCGUGCCAGCAGCCGCGGUAAUACGGAGGGUGCAAGCGUUAAUCGGAAUUACUGGGCGUAAAGCGCACGCAGGCGGUUUGUUAAGUCAGAUGUGAAAUCCCCGGGCUCAACCUGGGAACUGCAUCUGAUACUGGCAAGCUUGAGUCUCGUAGAGGGGGGUAGAAUUCCAGGUGUAGCGGUGAAAUGCGUAGAGAUCUGGAGGAAUACCGGUGGCGAAGGCGGCCCCCUGGACGAAGACUGACGCUAAGGUGCGAAAGCGUGGAGAGCAAACAGGAUUAGAUACCCUGGUAGUCCACGCCGUAAACGAUGUCGACUUGGAGGUUGUGCCCUUGAGGCGUGGCUUCCGGAGCUAACGCGUUAAGUCGACCGCCUGGGGAGUACGGCCGCAAGGUUAAAACUCAAAUGAAUUGACGGGGGCCCGCACAAGCGGUGGAGCAUGUGGUUUAAUUCGAUGCAACGCGAAGAACCUUACCUGGUCUUGACAUCCACGGAAGUUUUCAGAGAUGAGAAUGUGCCUUCGGGAACCGUGAGACAGGUGCUGCAUGGCUGUCGUCAGCUCGUGUUGUGAAAUGUUGGGUUAAGUCCCGCAACGAGCGCAACCCUUAUCCUUUGUUGCCAGCGGUCCGGCCGGGAACUCAAAGGAGACUGCCAGUGAUAAACUGGAGGAAGGUGGGGAUGACGUCAAGUCAUCAUGGCCCUUACGACCAGGGCUACACACGUGCUACAAUGGCGCAUACAAAGAGAAGCGACCUCGCGAGAGCAAGCGGACCUCAUAAAGUGCGUCGUAGUCCGGAUUGGAGUCUGCAACUCGACUCCAUGAAGUCGGAAUCGCUAGUAAUCGUGGAUCAGAAUGCCACGGUGAAUACGUUCCCGGGCCUUGUACACACCGCCCGUCACACCAUGGGAGUGGGUUGCAAAAGAAGUAGGUAGCUUAACCUUCGGGAGGGCGCUUACCACUUUGUGAUUCAUGACUGGGGUG